CAGGGAAUAGUUUAAGUAAAAUAUUAAUUUUGGGGAUUAAUGAUGGAUAAAUUUCUUUCUCUGA
rnacentral:tRNA from 1 species